rnacentral:lncRNA from 1 species
GAAAUAUGGAUAGGUGUCAAAUAGUCCUGUUUCCUUGUUUUGCCAUCCUGAAGUUCAACUUCAAGUCAUCAAUUGGCUGAUAUGUUGAUUUUGCUGAAAGCCUUGGCUGCACUAACCGUCUCGAUUGGCUGGGGCUUGUUGUUAAUCAAAGCUCUGAAUGUAUUCUUUGUUCUCAUUGAUUCUAGAUCUGUGCUGUACUAAACAGUAGCCAUGAUCCACAUGUGACUCUUUAAAUGAAUUUAGUUAACUAAUACUAAAAUUUAACUUUUCUAACAUAGAAAGAGUCAAAAUCAUCAAAACAUAGAGACCACGAAUAAAAUGGUGAUUGUCAAAGGCUUUGGGGAGGGAGAUAUCAACACUUGGUUUUUAAUAGACACAAAGUUGCUUAUGUAAGAUAACAAUGGUCUAGAGUUCUACUAUGCACCAUGCUGCUUGUGGUUAGCAAUACUGUACAAUUAAAAAUUUGUAAAAGGGUAGAGGUCAUGUUCUUACCUAAAGAAGAGGAAGAAAUCCAAUUCCUCAGUCACUCUAGCCAACUUUCAAGUGCUCAGUACCCAGAGGUGACUAUGACUACCACAUACACAGAGCAUUCCCAUCAUUACAGAAACUUCUCUCAGAUACUGUUACUGACAUGGGUCCCAGGACUCAAUAACAAUAGAAAUCGACAGGAAACCAGAAGAAGAAUUCAGGAAAGGCUUUACUGGGAUUUGUGCUACAACACGAGGAAGCAAAAACAAGCAAUAGGUCCUGAGAAGAGGACUGAUCCUGAAGCUGAAGCUUCAAUACCUUGACCUUCUUAUGCCAGGAGAUGACUAAUUGGAAAAGACCUUUGUGCUGGCAAAGAUUGAAGGCAAAAGGAGAAAAGAUCAGCAGAGGAUGAGAUGAUUAGACAGCAUCACUGACUCAAGGCACAUGAAUUUGAUCAACUCUCGAAGAUACUGAACGACAGGGAAGUGUGGUGUGCUGCCAUGCAUAGGGUCACAAAGAAUUGGACAUGACUUAGCAACUGAACAACAAGUCUUACAUCUAAAGUCAUAAAUGCUAUUCUCAUUUCAUUGUUUUUAACCUAAGAAUUACUGGGCAAUGUUUCUAUGAUGCUUCUUUCUAAAUUACAGCUGUUGAGCUCCAUAAUGUUUUGUUUUACCCUAUUUCUUGGUAUUAUUCUACUGUCUCAAAAUUUCCUUCCUCAUUUCUGUUAUUGAAUAAAAGCUCUUUUUCUGGAAACUUGGUUCAUUUUUUAGAUAGAUAUGAUUACUUAGCAC